rnacentral:lncRNA from 1 species
ACCAUGCAGCAGCUUCUGGGCGAGCUUUUUGAUUCCGAGAAGCUAUAGCUUGAAGUUCAACAUACCAUUAAAGAGAGUUGUUGUUCUUUAAAUUUGCUUUGAAAUGUUUCUUAUCAUUAGAUUGGGUAACGUGGUAUUCUUUUUGUGUUUUAUAUUUUUCGCAUUCGUCCUUUAGUGUCCUAUUUCUCUUAUCUUUUGUCCUUCCUUUAGAAAAAUUUAUGGUCAAAUAUAUAAUA